rnacentral:rRNA from 1 species
UACGUAGGAGGCAAGCGUUGUCCGGAUUUAUUGGGCGUAAAGAGCGUGUAGGCGGCUAGAUAUGUCCGUUGUGAAAACUCGAGGCUCAACCUCGAGACGUCGAUGGAAACCAUCUGGCUAGAGUCCGGAAGAGGAGAGUGGAAUUCCUGGUGUAGCGGUGAAAUGCGCAGAUAUCAGGAAGAACACCCGUGGCGAAGGCGGCUCUCUGGUACGUGACUGACGCUGAGACGCGAAAGCGUGGGGAGCAAACAGG